rnacentral:rRNA from 1 species
GUGGGGAAUAUUGGGCAAUGGGCGAAAGCCUGACCCAGCAACGUCGCGUGAGGGAAGAAGGUUUUCGGAUUGUAAACCUCUGUCCUUGGUGGCGAACACAAUGACGGUAGCCAAGGAGGAAGCCCCGGCUAACUACGUGCCAGCAGCCGCGGUAAUACGUAGGGGGCAAGCGUUGUCCGGAAUGACUGGGCGUAAAGGGCGUGUAGGCGGCCGAUUAAGUCUGGAGUGAAAGUCCUGCUUUCAAGGUAGGAAUUGCUUUGGAGACUGGUUGGCUUGAGUGCGGAAGAGGCAAGUGGAAUUCCCAGUGUAGCGGUGAAAUGCGUAGAGAUUGGUAGGAACACCAGUGGCGAAGGCGACUUGCUGGGCCGUAACUGACGCUGAGGCGCGAAAGCGUGGGGAGCGAACAGGAUUAGAAACCCCGGUAGUCC